ensembl:lncRNA novel transcript
GGAAGACACCAGAGCUGUCCCUCUCUCGGCUUGCACUAAGGAGGAGGUCACGUGAGCACACAGUGAGAAGGCGGAGGACCAUCUGCAAGCAGGAAGAGAGCCCUCGCUAGAACCCCCCACGGUGGCAUCUGAUAGUGGACUUCUAGCUUCCAGAACUGAACUCAUAAAUGUCACAUCAGGCUGCCUCUUGGUGAAUUUUUAAUCAACGGGGAGAAUUUCAGCUACAAAUAGACCAAGAAUCAAGAGGCCCACUAUUGAUCGGUCAAAGUGGCACUUAUGAACCUGAGGUUGAAGCAGUUUGGAUAAAAGGAUUCUGGGCUUUCGAUGGCCCCAGAGACAUCUUUUUCCAUCAAGUCCAGUAAGAUCACUCCGGCUAUUACAUGGAGGGUGGACUGAAGGAACAAGGACAGGGAACAGGAAUGGCAGUAAAGAAACCAGGAGACUAUUGAGAUGAUCCUGACAAGAAAUGGCAACUUGGACUACGGCAGUGGCAAUAGAGCUCAUCCCUUUCCCCACAUCUCAGCAUGAUAUAACAAGAGUUGCCUGGGGCCUCAUGGCCCAAUGGGGCCCAGGCCUCAAAUAAAUCUGCAGAGAAGUCUUGCAGCCUGUUGGCACCUGGGCACGGGAGAUUCCAAGAUGAAUUGGGUCCUAUCCUUGAGGAGACCAUACAUGUUAGGGAGGUUGUUGGAUACAUGAGCAGAUACAACACAUGGCAGAACGUGUUGGAUGGAGGCUGAGCACCGGCUUGCUGAUCGGUACAGCUGAGAACAUGUUGAAUUUGAUGUGCCUGUGGAUAUUUGAGUCUGGAACAUUGAAGACAAGUUUGGUCUGGAGAUGUAGACUGGGGAUAUCUCAGCACACAGAUGAUAACUGAAAUGAUGGAGCGGAUGAUAUAAACUGGAGAGAGUCUGGUGUGGGAAGAGUCUUCCCUGAGGUGGCCGAAAGAUGUAAUUCUUACUCCAAAGACUGAAAUAGAGACAAGAGAAGCUGAAGUUACAGGGUUUUGUCAUUGGGAAGACAGUAGAGUGUGUCAUAUCCCAAGAGUGAAGCAAGGACAAACCAAAGAACAACUGGGAAGAUCUGGGAGAAAAAGGGAGAGGAGAGCCUGACGUUUCAAGAACUCAAGGUUCAGUACUAGGUCUUAGAGGAAGACUUCAUUUUAGCUUUGAUGCUCUCCGCUAGGCACAGAGAAACUUAAGCAGAAUGACAAGACCUGCUGUUUGAGUAACUCACGUUCUGACCAGAGAGACAGACAUGUCAGCAAGAGGUUACAAUACAGUGUGCUCAGAUUCUCCGGGACUUGGAGCACUUGUUCCAGAAAGGAAGGCCAGGGAAGUCUUCCAGGAGUAGAUGGCGCCUCUGCUGACCUGAAGGAAAUGAUGCAACUGAGUCACAGAGAAGUUAAGUAAUCUGCCUGCCGACACUCGGGUCGAUGCCGCCUCAUUCCAUCACUCGGGCAAUGGAGCCAAAGGCCACGUUCACAACCACUAGGCUGUCCCAGCCCCUUGCUUCAAAGAUAGCCAGGCAGGAGUUAUUUUAUAGAAUGGAAGUAAUUUCUACGGGGCCAAGCAAUAAUAAGGAAAUUGGAAGUCAAGGACUAUCUUCCGAAUGGAGAAGAAGCUCCAUCAACCACAGAAGGAAAUUAUGAUCACUCCUGCCAUCCUGCUCCUUUGUGUAUCCAGGAUGAAGGGGAGAAUUGGAGUCUUGCACAAUGAAAGGACAACAUUGCUGCCAAAACAAUCCAUCGUGACUGUAGACAUAUUUUCCACCCUCAUCCUGCAGGUUUUCUGCCAGUUGUUGGCCCCUCACCAAUUUUGCUCCUGGGCAGUCUGAGGUGGAACAUAAUUUUGUAUAAAACAAAUUAUGCUCAACCUCACUUAUAAUCAGGGAAAUGUGAGUCAAAACCACAAUAAAAUAUCACCUCAUGCUGUUUA